AUCUCUCCUUGGAGAUUUUGGUGAAGAUCGAAGUGUAAUAUCUGUUCUUAGCAACUCAAUAUCUGAUACAGUCACUAUUUGGGGACAUUAGUAUUAAAAUGAUUUUUAGAAGUAGGAAAAGAAUUAUGGGCUGGCUCUGCUUUUGCCAAAGAUUAGCCUAAUAUUACAACUCAUUUAUUAUUGGACCAAACAUA